rnacentral:rRNA from 1 species
GGCGAACGGGUGAGUAACACGUGGGAAAUCUGCCCUGCACUCUGGGACAAGCCUUGGAAACGAGGUCUAAUACCGGAUAUGACCUUCCUCUGCAUGGGGGUUGGUGGAAAGCUCCGGCGGUGCAGGAUGAUCCCGCGGCCUAUCAGCUUGUUGGUGGGGUAAUGGCCUACCAAGGCGACGACGGGUAGCCGGCCUGAGAGGGCGACCGGCCACACUGGGACUGAGACACGGCCCAGACUCCUACGGGAGGCAGCAGUGGGGAAUAUUGCACAAUGGGCGAAAGCCUGAUGCAGCGACGCCGCGUGAGGGAUGACGGCCUUCGGGUUGUAAACCUCUUUCAGCAGGGAAGAAGCGCAAGUGACGGUACCUGCAGAAGAAGCACCGGCUAACUACGUGCCAGCAGCCGCGGUAAUACGUAGGGUGCGAGCGUUGUCCGGAAUUAUUGGGCGUAAAGAGCUCGUAGGCGGCUUG